rnacentral:rRNA from 1 species
ACGGGUGAGUAACACGUAUCCAACCUGCCGUCUACUCUUGGACAGCCUUCUGAAAGGAAGAUUAAUACAAGAUGGCAUCAUGAGUCCGCAUGUUCACAUGAUUAAAGGUAUUCCGGUAGACGAUGGGGAUGCGUUCCAUUAGAUAGUAGGCGGGGUAACGGCCCACCUAGUCUUCGAUGGAUAGGGGUUCUGAGAGGAAGGUCCCCACAUUGGAACUGAGACACGGUCCAA